GCCAUUUCGCACGUGUACAUCUAAAGCGCAGUCUAUACCCUUCAUAUUUGAGCUCUAACAAUCGUUCUUUUGAAUAAUCCAUUUGCGCUGAAUAUACCACGCGCCCAAGUCAUUUAAGAUGCUUAAAACCGACCCUUUCCCCACGAAGCCGAAGAAGAGAUAUUUCCCUCAUGGCCUUUCAGGCUGUGCUCUCUUUUCGGUCAUUCUCUGUGCGAUAAUUUCACUUUGGGGAGCAUACCUGAUCGGAUCGAGCCGCUACCAUCUGGACAACGGCAACCGGGGGAAAUCUCCUAUUCCAACUUUACCGUUUCUGAAAGAACCUGUUGUUUUCAACCCGGAUCCCCGCUGGUCUGGCCCGGACCCCCUAACCCACAAACAUUGGGAAGAGGAGCAUCUUAACGGCUUCACACAUUCAUUUGUCCUAGAUAAUCCGCGGGAUUACGGACUGGAGAAGGGGAUUCCCUCUAGAAAAGGGUUUGAGCGGUUUGGUAUCAGCAUGUACCAUCAGCUCCAUUGCUUGGCAAGCAUUCGAAUGGUCUAUUUCAAUCAAACAGACAACCAUCAACAUCGACGGGAUGAGGUGGACAUGAGGCUGUUGAACCACCUUCACGUUGAUCAUUGCUUUGAUUAUCUGAGACAGGCAAUCCGAUGCUCUGCCGACCCCACAAUUGAGUGGGGUCGAGUGGAAAGGAACGGAAAGCGAAAGGAAAUUGAUGGAUGGGGUGUUCCUCACCGCAUUUGCAAGGAUGUGAGUGUUUUCGAAGAG
rnacentral:sRNA from 1 species